AUUGAAACACUGGUUCCUAUACGAUCACCGAAGUUAAGCAACUUCGACCAUGGUCUGUACCUAGAUGGGUGACCGCUUGAGAAUAUCAGGUGCUGUAUG